rnacentral:rRNA from 1 species
CUACGGGGUGCAGCAGUGGGGAAUAUUGCACAAUGGAGGAAACUCUGAUGCAGCAACGCCGCGUGGAGGAUGACACUUUUCGGAGCGUAAACUCCUUUUAUAUAGGAAGAAGAUGACGGUACUAUAUGAAUAAGCGCCGGCUAACUCCGUGCCAGCAGCCGCGGUAAUACGGAGGGCGCAAGCGUUACUCGGAAUCACUGGGCGUAAAGAGCGUGUAGGCGGAUUAAAAAGUCAGAAGUGAAAUCCUAUAGCUUAACUAUAGAACUGCUUCUGAAACUCUUUACCUAGAAUAUGGGAGAGGUAGAUGGAAUUUCUGGUGUAGGGGUAAAAUCCGUAGAGAUCAGAAGGAAUACCGAUUGCGAAGGCGAUCUACUGGAACAUUAUUGACGCUCAGAUGCGAAAGCGUGGGGAGCAAACAGGAUUAGAUACCCGCGUAGUC